ACUCGUCACCGGCAGGAAACUCCGGCGUUGCUGCAAACCCUCGUAACAGAAUACACAUCAUGUCACUCCACGAUCUGUAUUGUGAUUUAGGAUGCGUGGGUGAGGCAGCACGCGUGUCCAGGAAAUCAAUCAACGGAUCUGUUCCCAUUUCCAGUCCUGGUGAAACUGAUUCUUCUGCUCGGAAAGUGCACCAGAGUCUCUGUAAGAUAAUGAACGGCUCUUCAGACAGCUGCCAGCUUCAUUUAAGCCUGAUAAGGAAGGAAGGCAGCUUUAUAGGUUGAUCAUUAACCUGCUGCGAAGGAACUCCCAAAACACAUUUGUUGUUACUCUACACAUCUGUUAGUUGGAAGUGUUGAAGAAGCCACACUGUUCUUGCAAGACUACCUUUGGUCUCCAUGCACCUAAAAAUAACCAAACGUUGUGUCAUGGGCUGGCUUUCAUUUAAUACUAAAAGCAUUUUUUAACAACCCAGCACAUGAAACGGCUGUUGUGUGCAAUUGAUUUGAUAAUAAAGGAAUGGAGCAUUUAUUGGGAAUGUGCU